rnacentral:rRNA from 1 species
UACGGAGGGUGCGAGCGUUAUCCGGAUUCACUGGGUUUAAAGGGGGCGUAGGUGGGCAGGUAAGUCAGUGGUGAAAUCUCCGGGCUUAACCCGGAAACUGCCAUUGAUACUAUCAGUCUUGAAUACCGUGGAGGUAAGCGGAAUAUGUCAUGUAGCGGUGAAAUGCUUAGAUAUGACAUAGAACACCAAUUGCGAAGGCAGCUUACUACCCGAAUAUUGACACUGAGGCACGAAAGCGUGGGGAUCAAACAGG